GACAUAGUACUAGAGCCGAUUUACGCAAUCGAAUACCGCCGGAAGUAGAACAUUUAUGUCAACACCGGUUUCGUAUUUUCACGUGAAAACGGCCGAAAACUGAGAGGUUAUCAACAAAUUAUAAGUUUACGGGUACCAUGAGGAUUUUUCAUGCAUUUAAACGGGUUUCCAACAUGUCCAGUCAGGUUGACAGAAGUGGAAGAUGGUCUGAUGAAGUUUAACAUGUCAAAGUGUAAACUGUUCCGUAGAUUCAUAUGAUGAGAAUGCCAGUGUUGAUGUGUAUGACUUAUUUAAACACAGAUAUUGAUACAUUCAGAUAUAUACCUGUGACAUCUUCAGUGUCACCGUUCAGCUGUUGUUCAAGAUCAGUGUCUGCAGCUUGCACAGUUUAGUAUAGAGGAGCCUUCUGAAUCAGUUUUGUUACAUAUUUGCUGUUAUUAUAGGACAUACAUGUAGAGAGCAGCAAGUCCUGUCCAGCCGUGCAUGUAAUUGUGAUUCAGAAACUUUGAGAAUAUGUAAACAUUACACUGUUAUAAUUUUCAAAAUACUGUGUCGUGUAGUUUAUCAGUACUGUUUUGUCUCAGUUUAUAACAUAGUAUGUUCACAAAUCAAACUUAAGAUCAUAAUGAUCAGUAUUAUUAAAAUCAUUAAUUAUUUGUAUGGUGACAAAAUUUAAUUUCAUGAAAUACCACAGUAAAACGUUUGAUAAUUUCCGCUUUUAAAGUUGUAAGUUUAAAGUUGGCAUCAAUUGUUUUUCUCCUUCAUCAAUCUAAAAAGUGAUUGGUCAUUGUAAUUGCAAUAUCAUUUUAGUAUGACAAAGUUUAUAUUGAACUAAAACACUAAUGUAAAUUUUUGAACUGGUCAUUGCAUUUUCUUCAGUCUUAAAACAUGUUUAUCGUACGUGUCAUGGCCAGUAACUCCUCUAUAUUUCUUGUGUUUUGUCCUUUUUAGUUUCACUGAAGAAUAGGUAGAGGUGUUGCACAUCCAUUUUUUAGCAUCCUGAUUUUGUAAAGUGUUGUAUGUAAGCUUUUAUCUCAGAAUUAUGUCUCAUCUAAAGGGUGGAGAGGUAUUGUUUAUGCCUUCUCGUCUGUCAGCAUUAAGCUUGUCCGGCCUUAAGAGGACAAACUGCUGGCCAGAUUCUGAUGAAACUUCACAGGACUGAUCAGUACCAUGCAUAGUGUUGUGCAUAUCGCUUGCAUGUUUCGUUUCGCUGCACUAAAUUGCAGCUAGAGCUAAAAAUAGAAAAAUUCUUGUCGGCUUUCAUAGGUCAAAACUACAUAACAGAUUUUGAUGAAACUUCACAGGAGUUAUCAGUACCUAGUAUAUUUUUGCAUUUCACCGGCACUUUCCAGUUUGCUGCAAACAAUAGCCGCCAAAGCAAAAGGUAUACAUAGAAGGGAGACAUGUUUUGUCAUAAAAAUACUUAAAACACCUUCCACUUUGUUAAUGAAAAAUGUAUCAAACAAGAAAUAAUUUGACAUUAAAUACACUAGUUCCAUAACUGCAUUUGGUUUUUUACACAAUUAUUCUCCUUUUCUUACCAUAGCAAUAUUUUGUGUAACAUGUUACCUCAUUAAGCAUCAUAAGAUCAGAAAGUUCUAUGACUCAGAAAUGUUGGCCCGUUAGUACUUGUCAUGUGUAUGCUUUCAGUAUUUUAUAUUGUCAUUACUUUUUGUUGUGCCAGUUUGCGAAAAUGAAGACUUAACUGUCCAAAUGGUGUGCCUGUGCCUGUGCCUGUGCCUGUCCUGAUUAGUUUGUCUGGACAAUAUAUUAUUGAUUAGUCUUCACGAAAGUAUGCAGGUUAAGUUCCCUGUCAAGUUUAAAUAGUGGCAUGGUUACUUUAGAAACUCUAAAGUGAUGUCACCACUGCACUAGUAGAACGUUUUGUAUUUCAGGUUUUAUAUCACAUUACAGGCUAUUGGUCUUUAGCAGCCUUCAUUAAACUUUCAUAAAAUUUUCCAAAAUGUUGUAUUUUAAUUUGAACUGGCAUUAUUCAAACAGUAAGAAGUAGUACUAUAAAGCAACAUUUGACCUCUUUUCCAGUACUUUUUUAUUUUCUCUGUUAUUAUGAAAUUGCCUUUUCCUAGAAAUUGGUUGGCUUAUUUUUGAUGAUCUUAUGUUUUUAAUGAAUUGUAGCUAUGUUCUUUAUCUCGUGAAAAUGUUCAAAGUGCAAUACCACAUACCUAUCACUUUCAUUAACAUACUUGUACUUUUUUCAUAAAAAAUUAUAUAAAUCAUUACAUUUCAUAUAAACAGAAUUAAAUAAAUAUUUCAGAACAUCAGUGUUUUCUUUGAUUGCUACAUGAAACAGACCAUAGGUCAAUUUAGGGUCAACUCUGACACUUUAUAUGCAAACUGAUAAGGGAGAUAACUAGUACUGUCUUAAGUAACCAAUAUUUAGUUGCACAGUUACCUUCCCUUUACACAGGUAGAACAAUUUGUUGUUGAUCAUCUUUUGAACAUUAUUUCAUUACUGAUGACAGAACAUUGAAAACAAAAGUUGUUGUAUCAUGCAAUUAGAUCAUCUAUAACAAUAUAUACAUUUUAUUCCCUUUUUUAAAUGUUCUUUAAAUUAGGUACUAUGCCUAGUUAUUGUGAGCAUAUUUUAAUUUUUCUUGCUUGUGAAGUUGGUGACACGACG